CGUUGAAACACCGGUUCCCGUAUGAUCACCGAAGUUAAGCCAAGUCGAGCCUGGUCAUUAUGUCGAUGGGUGACCGCUUUGAGAUAUUAGGUGC